UCUCACUGUGGUUUUAAUUUGCAUUUCUUUGAUGAUUAGCGAUGUUGUAGUAAAGUAGAAAAUGUUAAGGCCUGCUCGGGGUCACACGAGUUCACCAGGCUCAAGGUAUGCACCCCUUUCCCGGAGGAGCUGGCCCCUCCUCAGGGAGAAGGGAGCAACAAUCCUGGGCUGCGUUCCAGAGACACUUGUCCUUGGGCUAUGUGCCCGGGAUAACUACCUUGGGAAACGUGCCCGGGACGUUCCUAUUAACAGUAAGUCGUGAACGCGGCCCUGGCUCCUGGCCAGAUCCAUGUCUGUAUGUGAAUCAUGCAUGCACCUACUGGCACUGAGGCUCUUUUGUUUAAACUAGCAUAAAUAUCAGCUUAGAGAAACCGCGAGCAGCCUUCCCCUGAUCAUGCUUGGAGUACUGCUGCCUUGUCAUCCUCCCCUGAAACUUGCCCGUGAUGAUUUGUUUUCCGGUACUGAUGAUGGGGUUCUAGUGGCGCUCACGCUAAGAAGACUUCAGUUGAACGUGAGUAUAACGCUGAUGUGGAUUGCUUAGCAGCUAUAGCUGAAGUGGAAUGUUCUACUCCCAUUAGUGACGAAACAUUAACACUUGCACGAUGGAUUCAUCACAAGACAGGACAUGCAGGCUCCGCUGCUAUGCACAGAUUAUAUUAUAGACUCCUCUGCUGUGGACACCUGCAAUGAGUAAUGCAUGGACACCUGGAACUCAACUAGGACUGCCAACCCACUACAACAUUACCAGAGCUGAGUGGCAGUAUGCAUGGAAGAACGUCACUCUACCACGCUCCCAAGAUUCUUUCCAGCGUCGUGCUAACCAACCCUGUUCUAUUGCAAAUGUAACAGUAUCAGCAAACAGCAAUAUGACUGUAUGGAAAGGAAAUAAGGAAAGCCAAUACCACAUGGUAGUUUCUAGCUCCCCACCUAUUAAUUUUAUUUUUAAAACCAAAGUUAAUGUUACUUGUUGUAGUGUGAAUAUUUCCAUUCAUUCAAAUACUUAUACUAGUUUUGUAGCUAGCAUUUUACAGACUGUGCAAUACUGUAAUAAUUCAAAACAUAAUCUGAAUUGAACUGUUAGCAGUUCUCAGUUUAUUCUUUGUACUAACACCACUCCAAUCAUAAAUAAGACAUCUUGGGUAGAUUAUAUAUGGGUCUCAGUAAAACAACCCCUGAAGAGUGCCACCCCUCAGAUAGUGCAUAUCCCUAGGACCUGUACCAAUAUCUCUGUUGCUGCACCCCAGAGAGUAAUACAUUUUAACAUUUCUUUUCCCACCUUACCUAAAUGCAGCCAUAAAUGCCGUGCUUGGUAUGACACUCGUUUAGGUGGCCUUGGCUCUAGAUUAGGUGUAGCUAAUUCUAUUGAUUUAGAAGCUUUAGCCCAUCGCCUUAAAAAUACUGGAUCAGAUGUAUCCAAAGCUGUGACCUUAAAUGCUAAAUGGUUACCCACUACUACUAUUCCCCAUGAGCAAACGUUAGCUUAUCAGAAACAGAUGUUACAUAUCUUUACUGACUCUAGUAUUCAGCAAUAUUGGAUUGAGACUAAAACUACUGCUUUAUUCAGUUGGACUAAAUGUUCCUUACAAUUAUUGUACACUUUAACACAAAAAUAAAAUGCACAACGUCUCCUUACGCAAAGUUCUCCCGACUCUAUUACCAAUAAUUUUUGGAUAGCCAUGAAUGCUCCUGUUGUUAAUUGCACUGCUUUAUGGUGCUUAGGCACUGUUAUUUGUUACCUUCCUAAAGUUGUUAAAACCUUAUGUUCUUUUCAUACUUUGCCUAUUAUUAAGGAUAACUAUUUUCUACAACCACAGACAGAAGGCACUCAUAUAGACAAUAGUAAUAUUACUUACAAACUAACUGAUUGUAUAUCUACUGACCAAGGGCCAGUUUGUAACGGCCUUCUUCGUAUAAUGGAACCCUGUUUGCUUUCUCAUUCAACUAACUUGUGUAUUGUCACUGCAUUCCCAAUAAGCAAUUUUUCUGUUUUAUAGGAGAUAGAACCCAAACAUGUCUGUUUUGCUAGCUCUAACCUGAGGGAAUUACACAGCAUGGGACUUUCCUCUCCCUUCUCAGGAUGUCUGCAGCGUCUCGAGUUGCUCCACUGGAACGGUGGUGUUUUCUACCUAGCUCCCGAUCUGGAGGAGGAUGAGGCUUUUUCCUGGACUCCUCCUCACGUACAACCUCCUUCUGCAUAUCUGAAUUUAACUCUAGCAACCAUCUUACAGAAUUCCCAAUUGUUAUCCCGUCCUUUGGCUAAUAAUCAAAGAACCCUAGCUGAGCAUCAGUUGAUUACCACUAUAACAUCUAACCAAUUAAAAGACCUUUCUCAUGUUAUAACCCAGGACUCUAAUCACCACUGGUGGGACUCUUUGUUUGGGAGUUCCACUGCCUACAAAUAUUUCUCAGCUAUAUUUACCCCUCUUCUAUUAAUAAUUAUAACCCCCAUUGUUUUGUGCUUCUAUAACUGUUGGAUGUAUCGCCGUAUGCGAAAGAUACAUACCAUGUUUGUGUUGAGACGUGCACAUACAGACACUAUGCAUAUUCCCCAAGCAGCCCUAGGACCGAAUUGUAGUAAAGUAUAAAAUGUUAAGGCCUGCUCGGGGUCGUAUGAGUUUACCAGGCUCAAGGUAUGCACUCCUUUCCCAGAGGAGCUGGCCACUCCUCAGGGAGAAGGGAACAACAACCCUGGGCUGCGUGCCAGAGACACUUGUCCUUGGGCUAUGUGCCCGGGAUAACUAACUACCUUGGGGAAUGCACCCAGGACAUUUCUAUUAACAGCGAGUCAUGAACGUGGCCACGGCU